rnacentral:rRNA from 1 species
CGCUUGCGGGUGCUACCAUGCAAGUCGAACGAUGAAGCUGGGGCUUGCUCUGGUGGAUUAGUGGCGAACGGGUGAGUAACACGUGAGCAACCUGCCCUGGACUCUGGGAUAAGCGCUGGAAACGGCGUCUAAUACUGGAUACGAGACGUGGCCGCAUGGUCAACGUUUGGAAAGAUUUUUCGGUCUGGGAUGGGCUCGCGGCCUAUCAGCUUGUUGGUGAGGUAAUGGCUCACCAAGGCGUCGACGGGUAGCCGGCCUGAGAGGGUGACCGGCCACACUGGGACUGAGACACGGCCCAGACUCCUACGGGAGGCAGCAGUGGGGAAUAUUGCACAAUGGGCGGAAGCCUGAUGCAGCAACGCCGCGUGAGGGAUGACGGCCUUCGGGUUGUAAACCUCUUUUAGCAGGGAAGAAGCGUGAGUGACGGUACCUGCAGAAAAAGCGCCGGCUAACUACGUGCCAGCAGCCGCGGUAAUACGUAGGGCGCAAGCGUUAUCCGGAAUUAUUGGGCGUAAAGAGCUCGUACGCGGUUUGUCGCGUCUGCUGUGAAAUCCCGAGGCUCAACCUCGGGCCUGCAGUGGGUACGGGCAGACUAGAGUGCGGUAGGGGAGAUUGGAAUUCCUGGUGUAGCGGUGGAAUGCGCAGAUAUCAGGAGGAACACCGAUGGCGAAGGCAGAUCUCUGGGCCGUAACUGACGCUGAUGAGCGAAAGGGUGGGGAGCAAACAGGCUUAGAUACCCUGGUAGUCCACCCCGUACACGGUGGGAACUAGUUGUGGGGUCCUUUCCACGGAUUCCGUGACGCAUCUAACGCAUUAAGUUCCCCGCCUGGGGAGUACGGACGCAAGGCUAAAACUCAAAGGAAUUGACGGAGACCCGCACAAGCGGCGGAGCAUGCGGAUUAAUUCGAUGCAACGCGUAAAAUCUUACCAACGCUUGACAUACACGAGAACGGGCAGAAAUGGUCAACUCUUUGGGACACUCUUGAACACGUCGUGCAUG